UACGGGGGGGGCAAGCGUUGUUCGGAAUUACUGGGCGUAAAGGGCUCGUAGGCGGCCAACUAAGUCAGACGUGAAAUCCCUAGGCUCAACCUAGGAACUGCGUCUGAUACUGGAUGGCUUGAAUCCGGGAGAGGGAUGCGAGAUUCCAGGUGUAGCGGUGAAAUGCGUAGAUAUCAGGAGGAACACCAAUUGCGAAGGCAGCUCGCUGGGACGUGACUGACGCUGAGACGCGAAAGCGUGGGGAGCAAACAGG
rnacentral:rRNA from 1 species